AUUCUCAAAAAUGAUCGAAAUUUAUCUUUAAUGCCAUUGCUAUUGAUCAAGUUUCUCAACCAUUUUCUCUUAAUUAACAACUAAAUUUAUACUUCAUUAUUAUUGCAUAAUUCAUAUUUAAAUGCUUAAUAUGUCAAAGAUGAGGUGCUAUACUUUACAUACAUGAAAGCUAAAUGAAUUUGCCAAUCUCUUAGAUUACCAUUUUGCUGGAAUCGGGGUAUUACAUUUCCUCCCCCCU
rnacentral:lncRNA from 1 species